UUGGAUCCUGGCUCAGGAUGAACGCUGGCGGCGUGCUUAACACAUGCAAGUCGAGCGAAGCGUAUUUGCGGAAUUUUUCGGAUGGAAGCGGAUGCGACUUAGCGGCGGACGGGUGAGUAACGCGUGGGUAACCUGCCUCAUACAGGGGGAUAACAGUUAGAAAUGACUGCUAAUACCGCAUAAGCGCACAGGACCGCAUGGUCCGGUGUGAAAAACUCCGGUGGUAUGAGAUGGACCCGCGUCUGAUUAGCUGGUUGGCGGGGUAACGGCCCACCAAGGCGACGAUCAGUAGCCGACCUGAGAGGGUGGCCGGCCACAUUGGGACUGAGACACGGCCCAAACUCCUACGGGAGGCAGCAGUGGGGAAUAUUGCACAAUGGGGGAAACCCUGAUGCAGCAACGCCGCGUGAGUGAAGAAGUAUUUCGGUAUGUAAAGCUCUAUCAGCAGGGAAGAAAAAAGACGGUACCUGACUAAGAAGCCCCGGCCAACUACGUGCCAGCAGCCGCGGUAAUACGUAGGGGGCAAGCGUUAUCCGGAUUUACUGGGUGUAAAGGGAGCGUAGACGGCAUAGCAAGUCUGAAGUGAAAGCCCGUGGCUCAACCGCGGAACUGCUUUGGAAACUGUUAAGCUGGAGUACUGGAGAGGCAAGCGGAAUUCCUAGUGUAGCGGUGAAAUGCGUAGAUAUUAGGAGGAACACCAGUGGCGAAGGCGGCUUGCUGGACAGAGACUGACGUUGAGGCUC
rnacentral:rRNA from 1 species